rnacentral:rRNA from 1 species
GAUGAACGCUGGCGGCGUGCUUAACACAUGCAAGUCGAACGAUGAAGCCCAGCUUGCUGGGUGGAUUAGUGGCGAACGGGUGAGUAACACGUGAGUAACCUGCCCUUAACUCUGGGAUAAGCCUGGGAAACUGGGUCUAAUACCGGAUAGGAGCGUCCACCGCAUGGUGGGUGUUGGAAAGAUUUAUCGGUUUUGGAUGGACUCGCGGCCUAUCAGCUUGUUGGUGAGGUAAUGGCUCACCAAGGCGACGACGGGUAGCCGGCCUGAGAGGGUGACCGGCCACACUGGGACUGAGACACGGCCCAGACUCCUACGGGAGGCAGCAGUGGGGAAUAUUGCGCAAUGGGCGAAAGCCUGAUGCAGCGACGCCGCGUGAGGGAUGACGGCCUUCGGGUUGUAAACCUCUUUCAGUAGGGAAGAAGCGAAAGUGACGGUACCUGCAGAAGAAGCACCGGCUAACUACGUG